ensembl:lncRNA
UACGCCUAAGUGUCCUUGGGCAAGACACUGAACCCCAAAUUCCUCCUAAUGUCAAGUUAGCACCUUGCGUGGCAGCUCUGCUACCACUGGUGUGUGUGUGUGUGUGUGUGUGUGUGUGUGUGAAUGGGUGAAUGAGAACCAGUGUAAAGCGCUUUAGAACCAUAGGGGUUAAGAAAGUGCAGACCAUUUCCCAUGCUUUUCUGUGAUAUAAUGGAUAUUCUGAUAUCCUUGGGUUAAAAAAAAAAAAAUUACAAAUUGUUAAAAGUAUUUAAAAUUAGAAGUGAAUAGAAGUAGUUAGAAGUUAGUAGUAGUUAGAAGUAGAAGUGGUAGAAGUGAAUAGAAGUAGAAGUAGUUAGAAGUAGAAGUGAAUAGCAGUAGUUAGAAUUAGAAGUAGUUAGAAGUGAAUAGAAGUAGGUAGAAGGGAACAGAAGUAGUUAGAAGUAGAAGUGAGUAGAAGUGAAUAGAAGUAGGUAGAAGGGAAUAGAAGUGGUUAGAAGUAGGUAGAAGUAGUUAGAAGUAGUAGUGAAUAGAAGUAAGAAGAAAUCGGUAGAAGUAGUCAGAAGUAGAAGUGGAUAGAAGUCGAAGUAGUUAGAAGUGAGUAGAAGUAGUUAGAUGUGGUUAAAAGUGAAUAGAAGUGAGUAGAAGUAGUUAGAUGUGGUUCGAAUUGAAUAGAAGCAGUUAGAAGUAGAAGUGAAUAAAAGUAAAUAGAAGUAGGUAGAUGUGAAUAGAACUGGUUAGAAGUAGAAGUGAAUAGAAGUAGUUAGAAAGUAGGAAUAGUUAGAAGUAAGUAGAAGUGAAUAGAAGUAGAAGUGAAUAGAAGUAGUUAGAAGUAAAGUGAAUAGAAGUAGUAGAAUGAGAAUAGAAGUAGAAGUGAGUGGAAGUGAGUGGAAGUGAGUGGAAGUGAGUGGAAGUGAGUAGAAGUGAGUAGAAGUAGAAGUAGUUAGUAGAAGUGAGUAGAAGUGAAUAGAAGUAGAAGUGAAUAGAAGUAGAAGUGAGUAGAAGUGAGUAGAAGUAGUUAGUAGAAGUGAAUAGAAGUAGAAGUGAUGAGUAGAAGUAGAAGUGAAUAGAAGUAGAAGUGAGUAGAAUGAGUAGAAGUGAAUAGAAGUAGAAGUGAGUAGAAGUAGAAGUAGUUAGAAGAAGUGAUUAGAUGGCAAGAUGUUGGACCUAAUGAUUAAAAUAAUUUGCUUGUAUGUGUGUUUUAGUGGCGCUCUGCUGCACUGUUGUACCGGCAGUAAUGCACAGACCUGUGUUCGUCAGGAGGCGUAUGGUAGAAAUACCUUCCAGAAUCAUGAUAUAUUUCAUAUCUCUCGCCCUCACACCUGGAAGCGAGUUGCACUUGUAUCCUCACAUGUAGAUAAUCCCUAAAUGUCCUGGCGCAGAGCUUCAGAACCUCCUCCUGGACUCUGUCAUGGUCAGAUUGACAGCUUUGUGCUGGGCCUGUCUCUGUGAUGAAGACGGAGACUGCUCGCUCCUCUGAGCGUGUUCCUGGAGCUCGGCGGUUCACGCCGGAGUGCUUUAGUUCUCUCGUUAAACCCCAGACGUCGCCUGAGCGGCGUAAACGUCAGUCCCCUGCCCCGCGUGACCCUGUAAGGCGCACGAGCGCGCCGAGCCGAGAUGUGGUGGAAGAGCCGCUGUAUUCUUUACUAGCUCUGGAACCGGAGCCUUGGCUUCUCGCGGCAGGUUAUACGGACACGACGCAGAGUCUCGGAGAGACUUUAUUGUACUUUUGUGUCCCGGAGCGCAUGCCUUGGUCUACUUCCUCUGACUAAAAAAAAUUUUUUUUUUUAAAUAAACGUGAUAUUUAAAAAUAUAUAUAUAUUUUGGAUGAUGC